GAUGAACGCUGGCGGCGUGCCUAAUACAUGCAAGUCGAGCGGACGGACGAGGAGCUUGCUUCUCUGUUGUUAGCGGCGGACGGGAGAGUAACACGUGGAUAACCUACCUAUAAGACUGGGAUAACUUCGGGAAACCGUAGCUAAUACCGGAUAAUAUCUUGCUCCGCAUGGUUGAAAAGUGAAAGACGGUGUUUCUGUCACUUAUAGAUGGAUCCCCGCUGUUUUAGGUGGUUGGUAAGGUAAAGGCCUUCCAAGGGAAGGAUGCGUAGCCGACCUGAGGGGCUGAUAGGCCGCACUGGAACGGGACCACGCUCCAUGCGCCUACGGGAGGCCGCAGUAGCGAAUCUUCGGCAAUGGGCGAAAACCUGACGGAGCAGCGCGGCGUGAGUGGUGGAGGUCUUCGGAGCGUAAAGCUCUGUUAUUGGUGAUAAACAUAUGUGUAAGUAACUGUGCACAUCUUGACGGUACCGAAUCAGAAAGCAACGGCUAACUACGUG
rnacentral:rRNA from 1 species